rnacentral:rRNA from 1 species
AUUGAACGCUGGCGGCGUGCUUAACACAUGCAAGUCGAGCGAGAAAGUUCUCUUCGGAGAAUGAGUAGAGCGGCGCACGGGUGAGUAACGCGUGGAUAAUCUGCCCCGAAGAUCGGGGAUAACAGUUGGAAACGACUGCUAAUACCGAAUGUUCUGCAUAUUUAACUUUAUUGUUGUAAAGAUGGCCUCUAUUUAUAAGCUAUCG